GGCCUAAUACAUGCAAGUCGAACGGCUCUUCGGAGCAGUGGCGGACGGGUGAGUAACGCGUGGGAACGUGCCCUUUGGUUCGGAACAACACAGGGAAACUUGUGCUAAUACCGAAUGUGCCCUUCGGGGGAAAGAUUUAUCGCCAUUGGAGCGGCCCGCGUUGGAUUAGCUAGUUGGUGGGGUAAAGGCCCACCAAGGCGACGAUCCAUAGCUGGUCUGAGAGGAUGAUCAGCCACACUGGGACUGAGACACGGCCCAGACUCCUACGGGAGGCAGCAGUAGGGAAUCUUGCGCAAUGGGCGAAAGCCUGACGCAGCCAUGCCGCGUGAAUGAUGAAGGUCUUAGGAUUGUAAAAUUCUUUCACCGGGGAAGAUAAUGACGGUACCCGGAGAAGAAGCCCCGGCUAACUUCGUGCCAGCAGCCGCGGUAAUACGAAGGGGGCUAGCGUUGCUCGGAAUUACUGGGCGUAAAGGGCGCGUAGGCGGACAGUUUAGUCAGAGGUGAAAGCCCAGGGCUCAACCUUGGAAUUGCCUUUGAUACUGGCUGUCUUGAGUUCGGGAGAGGUGAGUGGAAUGCCGAGUGUAGAGGUGAAAUUCGUAGAUAUUCGGCGGAACACCAGUGGCGAAGGCGACUCACUGGCCCGAUACUG
rnacentral:rRNA from 1 species